GACGUAGGGUGCAAGCGUUGUCCGGAUUUAUUGGGCGUAAAGAGCUCGUAGGCGGUUUGGCAAGUCGGGUGUGAAACCUCCAGGCUCAACCUGGAGUCGCCAUCCGAUACUGCUAUGACUUGAGUCUGGUAGGGGAUCACGGAAUUCCUGGUGUAGCGGUGAAAUGCAUAGAUAUCAGGAGGAACACCGGUGGCGAAGGCGGUGAUCUGGGCCAGUACUGACGCUGAGGAGCGAAAGCGUGGGGAGCGAACAGG
rnacentral:rRNA from 1 species